CAGCCGCCGCGGUAAUACAGAGGGUGCAAGCGUUAAUCGGAAUUACUGGGCGUAAAGCGCGCGUAGGUGGUUUGUUAAGUUGAAUGUGAAAUCCCCGGGCUCAACCUGGGAACUGCAUCCAAAACUGGCAAGCUAGAGUAGGGCAGAGGGUGGUGGAAUUUCCUGUGUAGCGGUGAAAUGCGUAGAUAUAGGAAGGAACACCAGUGGCGAAGGCGACCACCUGGGCUCAUACUGACACUGAGGUGCGAAAGCGUGGGGAGCAAACAGGAUUAGAUACCCGCGUAGUCCCUGUCUCUUAUAC
rnacentral:rRNA from 1 species